CCUACGGGAGGCAGCAGUAGGGAAUCUUUCACAAUGGGCGAAAGCCUGAUGGAGCAACGCCGCGUGCAGGAUGAAGGCCUUCGGGUUGUAAACUGCUUUUAUAAGCGAGAAAUAUGAUGGUAACUUAUGAAUAAGGAUCGGCUAACUACGUGCCAGCAGCCGCGGUCAUACGUAGGAGCCGAGAAUUAUCCGGAGUGACUGGGUGUAAAGAGUUGCGUGGGUGAGAUAAUAAGUAGCUAGUGAAAUCGGGUGGCUCAACCAUUCAGGCUAUUAGCUAAACUGUUUAGCUCGAGUGCGAUAGGGGAAAGUGGAAUUGCAUGUGUAGGAGUGAAAUGCGUAGAUAUAAGGAGGAACACCGAUUGCGAAGGCGGGUCGCUGGGUCGUUUCUGACACUAAGGCACGAAAGCGUAGGGAGCAAACGGGAUUAGAUACCCGGGUAGUC
rnacentral:rRNA from 1 species